rnacentral:rRNA from 1 species
AGUGAACGCUGGCGGUAGGCCUAACACAUGCCAGUCGAACGGCAGCACAGUAAGAGCUUGCUCUUACGGGUGGCGAGUGGCGGACGGGUGAGGAAUACAUCGGAAUCUACUUUUUCGUGGGGGAUAACGUAGGGAAACUUACGCUAAUACCGCAUACGACCUACGGGUGAAAGCAGGGGAUCUUCGGACCUUGCGCGAUUGAAUGAGCCGAUGUCGGAUUAGCUAGUUGGCGGGGUAAAGGCCCACCAAGGCGACGAUCCGUAGCUGGUCGGAGAGGAUGAUCAGCCACACUGGAACUGAGACACGGUCCAGACUCCUACGGGAGGCAGCAGUGGGGAAUAUUGGACAAUGGGCGCAAGCCUGAUCCAGCCAUACCGCGUGGGUGAAGAAGGCCUUCGGGUUGUAAAGCCCUUUUGUUGGGAAAGAAAAGCAGCAGGUUAAUACCCCGCUGUUCUGACGGUACCCAAAGAAUAAGCGCCGGCUAACUUCGUG